rnacentral:rRNA from 1 species
CUACGGGUGGCUCCAGUGGGGAAUAUUGCACAAUGGAGGGAACUCUGAUGCAGCAACGCCGCGUGGAGGAUGACACAUUUCGGUGCGUAAACUCCUUUUAUAUAAGAAGAUAAUGACGGUAUUAUAUGAAUAAGCACCGGCUAACUCCGUGCCAGCAGCCGCGGUAAUACGGGGGGUGCAAGCGUUACUCGGAAUCACUGGGCGUAAAGAGCAUGUAGGCUGGUUUGUAAGUUGGAAGUGAAAUCCUAUGGCUUAACCAUAGAACUGCUUCCAAAACUACUUACCUAGAGUAUGGGAGAGGUAGAUGGAAUUUCUGGUGUAGGGGUAAAAUCCGUAGAGAUCAGAAGGAAUACCGAUUGCGAAGGCGAUCUACUGGAACAUUACUGACGCUCAGAUGCGAAAGCGUGGGGAGCAAACAGGAUUAGAUACCCCAGUAGUC